GAGUUUGAUCGUGGCUCAGAUUGAACGCUGGCGGCAGGCCUAACACAUGCAAGUCGAGCGGCAGCGCGGGGCAACCUGGCGGCGAGCGGCGGACGGGUGAGUAACGCGUAGGAAUCUACCUGGUAGUGGGGGAUAGCCCGGGGAAACUCGGAUUAAUACCGCAUACGCCUUAAGGGGGAAAGCAGGGGAUCUUCGGACCUUGUGCUAUCAGAGGAGCCUGCGUUGGAUUAGCUAGUUGGUAGGGUAAAGGCCUACCAAGGCGACGAUCCAUAGCUGGUCUGAGAGGAUGAUCAGCCACACUGGGACUGAGACACGGCCCAGACUCCUACGGGAGGCAGCAGUGGGGAAUAUUGGACAAUGGGGGCAACCCUGAUCCAGCCAUGCCGCGUGUGUGAAGAAGGCCUUCGGUUG
rnacentral:rRNA from 1 species